rnacentral:rRNA from 1 species
GUUAAGUUGGUAAGUUAAGUUCGACGAAAGUUAACUUACGUAGGUAAGUAACUACUACGUAACGUAACUUUCGUUUAACGGAACCGACCAACUAGUUCGACCCCUACCCGUCGGACUACUCCGGAGGGGUAUGCCUGUUCGAGCGUCAUUUAUACCUCAAGCCUUAGGCUUGGUGAUGGGCAAUGUCAUCUAGGCAUGCCUGAAAAUCAGAGGCAGUGAAGCCUGAGUGCGGAAGCGUAGUGAUAAUUUUAUAACCGCUUAGGCCUCAGGUGAAGCUUGCAGAACACCAAAACUCUUGUUUUUGACCUCGGAUCAGGUAGGGAUACCCGCUGAACUUAA